rnacentral:rRNA from 1 species
GACGAACGCUGGCGGCGUGCCUAAUACAUGCAAGUCGAGCGAAUCGAUGGGAGCUUGCUCCCUGAGAUUAGCGGCGGACGGGUGAGUAACACGUGGGUAACCUGCCUGUAAGACUGGGAUAACUUCGGGAAACCGGAGCUAAUACCGGAUACUUUCUUUUCUCGCAUGAGGGAAGAUGGAAAGAUGGUUCUGCUAUCACUUACAGAUGGACCCGCGGCGCAUUAGCUAGUUGGUGAGGUAACGGCUCACCAAGGCAACGAUGCGUAGCCGACCUGAGAGGGGGAUCGGCCACACUGGGAAUGGGACACGGCCCAGACUCCUACGGGAGGCAGCAGUAGGGAAUCUUCCGCAAUGGACGAAAGUCUGACGGAGCAACGCCGCGUGAGCGAAGAAGGCCUUCGGGUCGUAAAGCUCUGUUGUUAGGGAAGAACAAGUACGAGAGUAACUGCUCGUACCUUGACGGUACCUAACCAGAAAGCCACGGCUAACUACGUGCCAGCAGCCGCCGUAAAAC